UAGCUACAUCCUGCGAUGGGGCACAC
rnacentral:piRNA from 1 species